rfam:Compost metagenome FHNL2OP04YIT8M, whole genome shotgun sequence.
GGGCUCUUAAAAAAGCAAUCGUUGUAUAAAUUAUACAUUUAACGCUCCCUUUCAACUUGUUUGGAAGGGGGCUUUCUAUUUUU